AGAGACGUUCAUCUGCUUCUGUUCUUGCCGUUCGCAGGGUCUGCCUCCAGCAAGUUCUCCUUCAGCAUGCUGAGUGUACCACAGGAGAGCUAGAGUCUCGCUCUGUUGCCCAGGAUGGAGUGCAGUGGCGCCAUUAUGGCUCACUGCAGCCUCAACCUCACUGGGCUCAAGCAAUCCUCCCACUUCAGCCUUCUGAGUAGCUGGGACUACAGGCGCACACCAGCAUGUUUAGCUAAUUUUUGUAUUUUUUGUAUUGAUGGAUUUUCACCUAUUGGCCAGGUUGGUCUUGUACUCCUGAGUUCAAGCGGUCCACUCGUCUUGGCCUUCCAUGUGCUGGGAUUACAGGCGUGAGCCACCUCGCUCGGCCUGGAUACACCAGGUUCAUCCAGCCACCUCGCCCGGCCUGGA
rnacentral:lncRNA from 1 species